rnacentral:rRNA from 1 species
GACGAACGCUGGCGGCGUGCUUAACACAUGCAAGUCGAACGGAAAGGCCCUGCUUUUGUGGGGUGCUCGAGUGGCGAACGGGUGAGUAACACGUGAGUAACCUGCCCUUGACUUUGGGAUAACUUCAGGAAACUGGGGCUAAUACCGGAUAGGAGCUCCUGCUGCAUGGUGGGGGUUGGAAAGUUUCGGCGGUUGGGGAUGGACUCGCGGCUUAUCAGCUUGUUGGUGGGGUAGUGGCUUACCAAGGCUUUGACGGGUAGCCGGCCUGAGAGGGUGACCGGCACCAUGGGGCUGAGGUACCGGCCCGGCCUCUACCGGGGGCAAGCGGUGGGAAUUUUUCCCCAUUGGCCGGAGGCCUGUUCCACCACCCCCGGGUCGGGAUGACGGCCUUCGGGUUGUAAACCGCUUUCGCCUGUGACGAAGCGUGAGUGACGGUAAUGGGUAAAGAAGCACCGGCUAACUACGUG